rnacentral:rRNA from 1 species
GAGGAGAUAACCCAGCUCGUCAUGCUAGAGCACUUUUUCAAUGUGCUCCCCAACGAGAAGGCGACGACGCAUUCCUAUGUCAAUCCAUAUCAACUUUCGAUGCCAUUGACUGCGCCUACCAUGGUGACCACGGGUAACAGGGAAUCAGGGUUCGAUUCCGUACAGGUACCCUGACAAACGGCUACCACAUGCAAGGAAGGCAGCAGGCGCACAAAUGACCCACUCCCGACGCAGGAAGGUAGCGAC